AGUGAACGCUGGCGGUAGGCCUAAUACAUGCAAGUCGAACGGCAGCACAGCAGAGCUUGCUCUGUGGGUGGCGAGUGGCGGACGGGUGGGGAAUACAUCGGAAUCUACUUUGUCGUGGGGGAUAACGCAGGGAAACUUGCGCUAAUACCGCAUACGACCUACGGGUGAAAGCAGGGGAUCUUCGGACCUUGCGCGAUUGAAUGAGCCGAUGUCGGAUUAGCUAGUUGGCGGGGUAAAAGCCCACCAAGGCGACGAUCCGUAGCUGGUCUGAGAGGAUGAUCAGCCACACUGGAACUGAGACACGGUCCAGACUCCUACGGGAGGCAGCAGUGGGGAAUAUUGGACAAUGGGCGCAAGCCUGAUCCAGCCAUACCGCGUGGGUGAAGAAGGCCUUCGGGUUGUAAAGCCCUUUUGUUGGGAAAGAAAAGCAGCCGGUUAAUACCCGGUUGUUCUGACGGUACCCAAAGAAUAAGCACCGGCUAACUUCGUGCCAGCAGCCGCAGUAAUAC
rnacentral:rRNA from 1 species